rnacentral:ncRNA from 1 species
UUCAUAAGUCUCAUCGAUUAAACCUUUACCAGUUAAAUGAAUGACUUGAUAAUGUUUGAGCAACUCGUCUAAGUUAUCACGUAUGAUUUCGUUUAAUUUCUUACUACCUAAGCUGCCACCCAUGACGAGAAGGGCCGGUUUAUCCUUACUGAAUUGUGUCAUUUCAUAACC